GAAUAUUGGACAAUGGGCGCAAGCCUGAUCCAGCAAUGCCGCGUGCGUGAUGAAGGCCUUCGGGUUGUAAAGCGCUUUCGCCCACGACGAUGAUGACGGUAGUGGGAGAAGAAGCCCCGGCUAACCCCGUUCCAGCAGCCGCGGUAAUACGGAGGGGGCUAGCGUUGUUCGGAAUUACUGGGCGUAAAGGGUGCGUAGGCGGCUGUCCAAGUCGGGUGUGAAAGCCCCGGGCUCAACCCGGGAUGUGCAUCCGAGACUGAAUGGCUUGAGUUCGGGAGAGGUGAGUGGAAUUCCCAGUGUAGAGGUCAAAUUCGUAGAUAUUGGGAAGAACGCCGGUGGCGAAGGCGGCUCACUGGACCGACACUGACGCUGAGGCACGAAAGCGUGGGGAGCAAACAGG
rnacentral:rRNA from 1 species